CAAGGAUGUUCACAGCAGCACUGCAGUACAGUGUGGCAGUGACAAUGUCACGUACCAAUGAGGAUGAAGCUUAGAAACAUGGCAAAGCGAUAAAAGCACGUCAUGGAGGAAUGUCACGGAAGGGUGUGUCAAGUAUGAUACUUCCAUGAAGCUCAAAACCAAGCACGACCUGCAGGCAUAUGUGCUAAAGCUAUUUUUGAAAGGCUUCAAAUAGGACAUAAUAGAAACUUUUAGAAGGAUAGAAGGUGCCAGGAGACCUGCAUUCUGGCCUCAGCCUUCCUUGGAUGUGCUGUGUGUCUGACUGUGGUUAAGUCACUGUCCCUUUGGGGGACCUAGGCUUCCCCUCCUGUCCGGACAGAAUGCUGCCUGCAGGGCCCCUGGGACCUCUGAGCUGCGGGAACCCAAAAUGCCACACGGGGCCAGGGAGUACAGCACCUAACUGAGCCACUGUGGGCAAAAGAUGAGGAAGAAUGCUCCCUGCCCCUCAAAAGGACCCCCGAGGAGCUAGACAUCGCAAGGUAGAGAAAUCAGGCUUGAUGUCAUAAAACAUUUCCUGAUAUUUCAAAAUUAAUUGGCGUUGAGGUUUAGUCUUUGAAACAAGCAUGUGGCUGGGGGUGGGGCCCACCUGAGCCAACUCCAAACAUAGGAACACCAUUUGCAGUCAGAACCAUCCUGUUCUUUGUUCUCCUCCUGCUGCCAGUCUGCCUAGUCCUCAGGGAGCAAAACUGUCCCCAGCAGCCCUGGGCCUUCCCCUGGAACUGACGUGCCUAAUGCAACCCUUGUACAACAGCAAGAUGCAGUCUGUUUGGCCAGGUGGUAAACGGACAAGAUUCUGAGCUGUGCCAGAUUCUGAGAUACCAGCUCCGGCUUUCCCGGCCACACGACCGCCACUGGUGGGCCUUAUGCCGACUAGCUCUGUCCCGCUUCGUUCUGUGAAGUUGGGCAUGCCACCUCCACCCCCUC
rnacentral:lncRNA from 10 species